UUCCGGUUGAUCCCGCCGGAGGCUACCGCUAUUGGAGUUCGAUUAAGCCAUGCGAGUCGCGAGUCCUAGGGACUCGGCGUACCGCUCAGUAACACGUGGGUAACCUGCCCUAUGCUGGGGGAUAACCUCGGGAAACUGAGAAUAAUACCCCAUAGUUCACCACGCCUGGAACGGUGGGUGGAUGAAAGCUCCGGCGGCAUAGGAUGGGCCUGCGGCGUAUCAGGUUGUAGGGGGUGUAAUGUACCCUCUAGCCAUCUACGCGUACGGGUGUUGAGAGACAUCGCCCGGAGAUGGAUUCUGAGACACGAAUCCAGACCCUACGGGGUGCAGCAGGCGCGAAAACUUGGCAAUGCGAGCAAUCGUGACCAGGGAACUCCAAGUGCAUCGGGUAAGACCGAUGCUUUUCUUGACUCUUCAAAGGUCUUGGAAUAAGGGGUGGGUAAGGACGGUGCCAGCCGCCGCGGUAAUACCGGCGCCUCAAGUGGUAGUCGCUUUUAUUGGGCCUAAAACGUCCGUAGCCGGUUUGGUACAUUCGUGGGUAAAUCAAGGCGCUCAACGUCUUGAAUUCUGCGAGCACGGCCAGACUUGGGACCGGGUGAGGUGUGGGGUACUCUCAGGGUAGGGGUAAAAUCCUGUCAUCCUGAGAGGACCACCUGUUGCGAAGGCGCCACACUAGAACGGAUCCGACGGUCAGGGACGAAGCCUAGGGGCACGAACCGGAUUAGAUACCCGGGUAGUCCUAGGUGUAAACGCUGUGGACUUGAUGUUGGGAGUGCUCCGAGCACCCUCAGUGUCGAAGCGAAGGUGAUAAGUCCACUGCCUGGGGAGUACGGUCGCAAGGCUGAAACUUAAAGGAAUUGGCGGGGGAGCACUGCAACCUGAGGAUUGUGCGGUUUAAUUGGAUUCAACGCC
rnacentral:rRNA from 1 species